GAAAAAGUAUAUUCUGGAUGCAAAGGAAGACCAAGUUUUAAUAUUCCUAAAGAGCAGCUGGAGAUGUUUUUGGAAUACAACUUUUCAGUUCCCCAAAUUGCUGAAAUGCUGGGAGUAAGCCUCAGUACAAUUAAGCGAAGAUUUCGAGAUUAUGAUCUUUCAGUUUCUCAAACCUACUCUGCUAUUGGCGAUAAUGAACUUGACGAAAUAAUACAGCAGUUGGUAUCCGAAUUUCCGAAUUGCGGAUACAGGAGGAUGACUGGUUUUUUGCGUGGAAGGGGGAUACAUGAACAACAAUUCCGUUUAAGAGAGUCCAUGCGAAAGUUUUAACCCCGAAGGUGUUUGUUACGUGCUUUGCAACUGACAUCAGUUUCCAGAAGGGUAUACAAUGUGAAGUCACCCCUGGCACUAUGGCACAUGGAUGGCCACCACAAACUGAUUAGAUGGAAAUUUGUGAUCCACGGCUGCAUUGAUGGAUACUCUAGAAAAAUCAUGUUUCUCAAAUGCAGCACAAAUAACAAGGCUCAGACUGUGCUUGAUGCCUUUUUAGAAGCUGUGGGUAACCAUGGAUUACCUUCAAGAGUCAGAGGUGAUCACGGUGGUGAAAAUUUUGAUGCUGCCCGAUAUAUGUUCAACCAUCCAGAGAGGGGGCCAGACAGAGGAUCAUUUAUAACAAGAAAAAGCGUGCAUAAUCAGCGCAUAGAAAGACGUUGGGUUGAUGUCUAUGUUUGCUGUGCUUACACAUUCUACUGUUUGUUUGAUUUCCUGGAAAAUGAGGGCUGUCUUGACAUAGACAGUGACCUUCAGAUGUUUUGCCUGCAUUAUGUCGUUGCUCCAAGAAUUAACAACUGCUAGGAACAGUUCAUAAUUGGGUGGGAUAAUCAUCCUAUUGAAAGUGCUAGAAAUAUGACUCCCAACCAACUUUGGAUAAGGGGAAUGUUGGGCAUUGCAAAUGAUGAUGGAACUAUUGCGAAAGAGGUCUGGCUGAAUGAGAGAGAACAAGAAAGUUAUCGGAUAGACUAUGAAGGGAUAUUGCCAGAGUCAACUGAACGAGAUGACUUAAUAGAUGUACCGGAUGUUCUUUGCCCAUUAAGUGAUGAAGCACUGGCUGAAUUGCAUAGAACUAUCAACCCAAAGCGUGCAAAUGUCAAUAGGGGUGUUGACAU